UACAGAGGGUGCGAGCGUUAAUCGGAUUUACUGGGCGUAAAGCGUGCGCAGGCGGUUCGUCAUGUCUGAUGUGAAAGCCCCGGGCUCAACCUGGGAAUGGCAUUGGAAACUAGCGGGCUGGAGUGUGGCAGAGGGGGGUGGAAUUCCACGUGUAGCAGUGAAAUGCGUAGAGAUGUGGAGGAACACCGAUGGCGAAGGCAGCCCCCUGGGCUAACACUGACGCUCAUGCACGAAAGCGUGGGGAGCAAACAGG
rnacentral:rRNA from 1 species